GAUGAACGCUGGCGGCGUGCCUAAUACAUGCAAGUCGAGCGAACAGACGAGGAGCUUGCUCCUCUGACGUUAGCGGCGGACGGGUGAGUAACACGUGGAUAACCUACCUAUAAGACUGGGAUAACUUCGGGAAACCGGAGCUAAUACCGGAUAAUAUAUUGAACCGCAUGGUUCAAUAGUGAAAGACGGUUUUGCUGUCACUUAUAGAUGGAUCCGCGCCGCAUUAGCUAGUUGGUAAGGUAACGGCUUACCAAGGCAACGAUGCGUAGCCGACCUGAGAGGGUGAGCGGCAACACUGGAACUGAGACACGGUCCAGACUCCUACAGGGGGCAGCAGUGGGGAAUCUGCCGCAAUGGGCGAAAGCUUGACGGAGCAACGCGGCGUGAGUGAUGAAGGUCUUCGGAUCGUAAAACUCUGUUAUGAGGGAAGAACAAAUGUGUAAGUAACUAUGCACGUCUUGACGGUACCUAAGCAGAAAGCCACGGCUAACUACGU
rnacentral:rRNA from 1 species